UAGAAAAGAAUAGGCAAAAUCGAAUUGACUUAAACCAACCUUCCCAAGUUAGAUUUUGAAGUGAAACUUCAACUUCAUUUUCUUCUCUAAAAUUCAAAGUUAGAUUCUAUUUUAGUAGUUUGUUUUCUUUAUUUUGUCUGGGAAGUUUAUAAAUUUUUUAUUUUCUAUUUAUAAUGUUGAUGGGUCAUAUUAUUUAUGCUCCAAAAAUUCAUGUAUUAAGGUGUAAAUUUUCGUAAAUUGAAGAAAAUUUUGAAAAAAUGGAUGAAUUAGGGAUUCAUCGCACCUAUCAUGAUGGCGUCGAUACGAUGCUUGCUUCACCAACUCUACGGGUACCGACCUUUACGCAAGUAUAUGAAGACCCACUUCACGAAAAUGUCAAUGUCGGUGAUGCAGAUGCCUCACUAAUGCAACGAUGCAUUCAACAACUAUCCAUAAGGUCGAAGAUGUUUUUAUGGAUAUGUUAGGAAGGGUAUUCAAUGCCUAAGUCAUGGAAAGAUGAGUGCAAAUAUAAUGGAUAUGACCUUCUAUUGGCCAUCCAGGUAAAUGUCAAAUCUUAUGAUUUUAAUAUAUUAUUAAAUUCUAAUAGUUGUGCGUGUUGUAAAUAUGGGCAUAGGAGUCUAUUUUCGCUUUGAUGGGAGGUGGGCCCAAAGUAAGUACACGAGGUGUCUUCGGAUAAAUCGUUGUUAAGCACUGGAUAUCACGAGUGCCAAAGAUGAACCUGCUAUACUUAGCGAUUCUCGACUUGAAGUCCAUAGUGAGUUGACGGUAUUAAUAGAGAAGUGGAUCAAAGUUACAUGUGGGACUCUUCUAUUCAACCUAGUCAAGAUGAUCUAUUAUCUAAUUAUGUUCAGAUGGAGGAAAGUUGUGUAGAUUUAUGUUUUCUAUUAUUACAUGUGAUUUAAUUAUAAUUUAUGUUUUAUGUUGUCAUAAGUGAUUUAAAUGUAUUAAUUGUCAAUCUUCUUAUUUAUGUAGGAGCGCUAUCCAUUUGAAUAGUGAGCUUUGUCUCCUUGCAUAUCUUCUUUAGCCAUGAGAUAUCCUACACGACAUCAAUUUCCUUUUUCUCAUCAAGAUCCUUCCCUAGUCAAUCAUCUACACCUAAUCGAUCUCCAUCAUCGAGUCGUGAGCAUGCACGGCAUUGAUUUUCUUCAGAUGAUUUGACUGAGCUUUUGAUUAGAAACCUGACUAUAGUUAUAUGAGAUAAGAUAGGAGCAUAACGAUAUGAGCUAUGAUUUCUAAAAUCAGAUCUAGGAGUUUUAGAUAAGAAGGUGGACUUUAUAAUUUAGUUGGAAGACCCCACCGUCAUACCAAUAAGGAGAGUUCAGGGAGGACAAUAGUGGUAAUGUAGGAGAUGGUGAGAUAAGGGGGUGACAAAAUAGGAUGACAAGGGAUGUGACGAAAGUAGUUAUAGGGAUGACAGAGGAUGUGAUGGUAAUGAUGGAGCAGGAGACAGGAGGAGUGACGAUCGAGACAAUGGAGGAUGUGAUUGUUGUACUGAAUGGCGUGGUCGAGGUGAUGAAGGGUAAUAAGUGUAUUGUAGUCUUUGUUCAGUUGAAUUAGUAACCUCAUUUUCAUUUCAAAUGUAAUCUUUAUCGAUGGAACAAAAAUAUUUGAAUGGUCGAAAAUAGAAAUCACAAAUCUAUCUCA